CCUACGGGAGGCAGCAGUGGGGAAUAUUGGACAAUGGGCGAAAGCCUGAUCCAGCCAUGCCGCGUGUGUGAAGAAGGCCUUCGGGUUGUAAAGCACUUUCAGUGGGGAAGAAAGCCUUGGGGCUAAUACCCUCGAGGAAGGACAUCACCCACAGAAGAAGCACCGGCUAACUCCGUGCCAGCAGCCGCGGUAAUACGGAGGGUGCGAGCGUUAAUCGGAAUUACUGGGCGUAAAGCGCGCGUAGGCGGUCUGAUAAGCCGGUUGUGAAAGCCCCGGGCUCAACCUGGGAACGGCAUCCGGAACUGUCAGGCUAGAGUGCAGGAGAGGCAGGUAGAAUUCCCGGUGUAGCGGUGAAAUGCGUAGAGAUCGGGAGGAAUACCAGUGGCGAAGGCGGCCUUCUGGACUGACACUGACGCUGAGGUGCGAAAGCGUGGGUAGCAAACAGGAUUAGAUACCCCAGUGUC
rnacentral:rRNA from 1 species